UCCUUUUUCUCUCUUCUUUCUCUCUCUUCUUUUUCUCUCUUCUCUUUCACUCUUCAAUUCUCUCUUCUCUUUCACUCUCUUCUUUCUUUUACUCUUACCUUAUUCACUUUUGCAACUAACACUUUUCUCACACUACUCUCUUUCUCAACAUGCCACUCUUUUCUUCUUCCAAUACCUUCGCCAUCUCCACAUGGAAACACCAACAUACCCUUCAUUUCAAUAAAAUCUCUUCAAAACCCAAACUUGGAACACCCCUUCUCCGUUUUCAACCAUAAAGUCCCCACUUUCAGCAUCCACUGCAUCGGAUCACACCGUAACAGAAGCUAGGGGUGUGAAAUUACCUUCUGAUAUGGUUGAGGCAGCGAAGAAUAUAGGCAUGCGUGAAAUGUUUCUUCUUCGUUUCUUGGAAUUAGAGGUGGGUUUUUGAUAAAGUUUAAAUUUUUGUUUCCAAGUUCUAAUGUUUUUAUUCACUGCUUAUGAUCAAUGUUCGUUGAAGAGUUCCGCUUUGGCCACUUUCUUUUCUGAUGAAGCACUGUUCUAUGCUGAGAAAUCGAAUGCUAGCUUAUCCUUCUUUUCUUUUUAAAGUUGGAAUCGAGUUAUGGUUCUGAACUAUGAUAAUUUGAAGUUGAUCAACGAGUGUUGGUGUUUUUACUAUUAGGGAAAUUACAAUGGCCCCCUUUUAAGGUUGAACCUAAUUACACUCUGCAUCUUUGGUGGUAUUAUUUUCAAUUUUAAUGGAUUUGCUUCUUCAACUGAGAGAAAAUGAAGGAAAGAGGGGGCUAGAUUAGUUGUUCCACUGUUACAGCCUCUCAAAGGACACAUGACCAUGUUUGCUGAUAACUGAUCCAACAGAAACCUAGUAAACAAAUAAUAUUAUUACCACUUACAGAUGUACUUAUAUUUGUUUAAUUUGUUUUCCC